rnacentral:misc_RNA from 1 species
GAAGUAUUGGGUGGAAACCGUGGUAGAAACUUAAAACUUGGAAACUAAUGUUGGAUCGAAAAAUGGACGUCCGAGAUUCGUCCACGUCAUCAUUAGUAAAAAAAUUUACUACUUAUGAAUAAAUCUAUGAGUAAAAUUUUUACUCGUGAUGACGUGGUCGAAUCUCGAACGUCUAUUUUUCGAUCCAAUAGUAGUUUCUAACUUUCCACCAUAUAUAUGGUUUCCACUGUAUAUUUUUCC